ACGGGUGAGUAACACAUCGGAACGUGCCUAGUAGUGGGGGAUAACUACUCGAAAGAGUAGCUAAUACCGCAUGAGAUCUAAGGAUGAAAGCAGGGGACCUUCGGGCCUUGCGCUACUAGAGCGGCUGAUGGCAGAUUAGGUAGUUGGUGGGAUAAAAGCUUACCAAGCCGACGAUCUGUAGCUGGUCUGAGAGGACGACCAGCCACACUGGGACUGAGACACGGCCCAGACUCCUACGGGAGACAGCAGUGGGGAAUUUUGGACAAUGGGCGAAAGCCUGAUCCAGCAAUGCCGCGUGUAGGAUGAAGGCCCUCGGGUUGUAAACUACUUUUGUACGGAACGAAAAGCUCUCUUCUAAUAAAGGAGAGUGAUGACGGUACCGUAAGAAUAAGCACCGGCUAACUACGUGCCAGCAGCCGCGGUAAUACGUAGGGUGCGAGCGUUAAUCGGAAUUACUGGGCGUAAAGCGUGCGCAGGCGGUUAUGUAAGACAGAGGUGAAAUCCCCGGGCUCAACCUGGGAACGGCCUUUGUGACUGCAUAGCUAGAGUACGGUAGAGGGGGAUGGAAUUCCGCGUGUAGCAGUGA
rnacentral:rRNA from 1 species